AUGGAAAAACCCAAAACGUCCUCAAGCUACCUGGUUCCCACUCGCCCGUACCCGAUUCUUCCAUCUUUUCCACCGCUUGCAAGGGAAAAUGUGACCACGGAAGUCCCUACCAGGCCGGGACGUUGCAGGACACGUAGCCCCCGGUGUCCAGGGAAGGAGGACGUGCACCAGGUAUCGAAGCCGCUGCGGUUCCUGGGCCGGGUCCAGCGGGAACGCCGCGCGCUGGGGCUGAACCUCGUUGCAACGAUCCCAACCUCGUGCUUCGCUUUCGGUCUCGUUUCUGAAGCUCCCCAGGAAGGACGAGGGCCGGGCGCGACUUCUUCUCUCGCUCUUGUCCUCCUCGAAGCGGAAAGCUGCUGCGGAAACCACCGAGCGGCUGGAGCCCUCGGAUCCGGCGGGACCUGGGCAUCCGCGUCCGCUUACGGCACGAACCGCCGYGGCCCUUGUGCGUUCCAGCCGGCAGUUUUGGGGCCGUCUCCAAGGGCUCCGGAAAGGGAAGGGGGCUGCGGGAGCCCGGGCGCUUUGCCAGGGGACGCGUGGCGGAGGAUUAUUGCGGCUCGCUGUCCCCGCGGCCGCUGGCAUCUCCCGGCAGCCCGGCCCCGCGGCGGGGGCGUCCGGCACCUCCUGCUCCCGGCUUGUCCGGGUGAAGGUGUUGGGGGACUUUUUUUGUUGCUUUUCCAAUGCUGGGCUUCAAAAAUUGGGGAAAAGGGCCCUUUCCGCCGGCCGACGGAGUGGCGCCGGUGUAGCUGUGGGGGCUGCGUUGCUCCGUGGGCUUUGCAAGGGCGGGAGCCUGCGGAGAGGGGAGAGCAAAGCCCGCCGGGAGCAGGGAGCGCUGCCCAAAGGCUYCCCGGGAGCCGGAGCCCGCAAAGGGCCAAAGCAUCCCCAAAAAAGUCAGGGGAGCAAGCGAUGCUCCAGCUCCUCGCCGUGGGGCUGGGACAUGCGCCCACCGUGGUGGCAUCUCCUCGCCCGCCUCCCUCUCCGUCCUGCGCCCUGCAUGGCUGUGAGGAGCUCCUAGGGGAUUUUGGGGGGGUUGCGGGGGGGGUUUGCUUUGUUUUGGGGUCGUGUGUGCGUACAGGUGGGGUUACGGGGUUUCCAGGGGUUGUUUUUCCU
rnacentral:lncRNA from 1 species